rnacentral:rRNA from 1 species
CCUAGUAUAAAGUAGAUUUGUUAAUUUAGUAUUUUGGGAAAAUUAAUGAUUUUGGCGGUUAUUUUAUUAAUUAGAGGAGCUUGUUUGGUAAAGUGAGAAGUUAUUCUUUAUAUUUUAGUAAUUUUGGGUUUAUUCAUCUCUGUUAUAAAAUGAAUUUGGUUAUUUAAAAUUUAUUUGAUAUUUCAGGUCAAGAUGUAUCUUAAAUUGAAGUUAAGAAAAUUAGCUACAAUUAUGAAAUAGGAAUAAACGCUAAUGUGUUAAUAUUAUAAAAAGGAUUUAGGUUAUAAUAUUUUAUAUUUAUGAAAAUGUGGGGGUAAAUUGAAUUUAGGUGUAAUACUAGCUAGAAUGCUAGUAUGAAUUAAUAUAAUUAAUGAACUUAUUGCCCGUCACUUCUAUUAUUAAUAUAGGAUAAGUCGUAACAAAGUAAAUUUAAGGG